rnacentral:rRNA from 1 species
GACGAAGGGGGCUAGCGUUGCUCGGAAUCACUGGGCGUAAAGGGUGCGUAGGCGGGUCUUUAAGUCAGGGGUGAAAUCCUGGAGCUCAACUCCAGAACUGCCUUUGAUACUGAAGAUCUUGAGUUCGGGAGAGGUGAGUGGAACUGCGAGUGUAGAGGUGAAAUUCGUAGAUAUUCGCAAGAACACCAGUGGCGAAGGCGGCUCACUGGCCCGAUACUGACGCUGAGGCACGAAAGCGUGGGAGCAACAGGG